UACAGGGGGUGCAAACGUUGCUCGGAAUCAUUGGGCGUAAAGCGCACGUAGGCGGUUCGUUAUGUCGGAUGUGAAAGCCCUUGGCUUAACCGAGGAAGUGCAUCCGAAACUGGCGAGCUAGAGUACGAAAGAGGAUCGCGGAAUUCCCGGUGUAGAGGUGAAAUUCGUAGAUAUCGGGAGGAACACCGGUGGCGAAGGCGGCGAUCUGGGUCGAUACUGACGCUGAGAAGCGAAAGCGUGGGGGAGCGAACAGG
rnacentral:rRNA from 1 species